rnacentral:rRNA from 1 species
UACAGAGGGGGCAAGCGUUGUUCGGAAUUACUGGGCGUAAAGGGCGCGUAGGCGGCCUGUUAAGUCGAACGUGAAAUCCCCGGACUCAACCCGGGAACUGCGUCCGAUACUGGCAGGCUUGAAUCCGGGAGAGGGAUGCGGAAUUCCCGGUGUAGAGGUGAAAUUCGUAGAUAUCGGGAGGAACACCGGUGGCGAAGGCGGCUCACUGGACUGGUAUUGACGCUGAGGUGCGAAAGCGUGGGGAGCAAACAGG